AGGCAUCUAAGGGAGUGCAAAUG
rnacentral:miRNA from 1 species